GUGCUCGCUUCCGCAGCACAUAUGCUAAAGUUGGAAUUACACAGAGAAGAUAGCAUGGCCCCUGAGUGAUGAUGACAUGCAAAUUUAUGAAGCAUUCCAUAUUUUU
rnacentral:snRNA from 1 species